CCUACGGGGGGCAGCAGUGAGGAAUAUUGGUCAAUGGGCGAGAGCCUGAACCAGCGAAGUCGCGUGAAGGAUGACGGCCCUACGGGUUGUAAACUUCUUUUGUCAGGGAGCAAUUGAGUCCACGUGUGGUCUUAGCGAGUGUACCUGAAGAAAAAGCAUCCGCUAACUCCGUGUCAGCAGCCGCGGUAAUACGGAGGAUGCGAGCGUUAUCCGGAUUUAAUGGGUUGAAAGGGUGCGUAGGCGGAAUAUCAAGUCAGCGGUAAGAGUUCGGGGCUCAACCCCGUCGUGCCGUUGAAACUGAUGUUCUUGAGUGGGCUAGAAGUAAGCGGAAUGCGAGGUGUAGCGGUGAAAUGCAUAGAUAUCACGCAGAACACCGAUUGCGAAGGCAGCAUACCGGCGCCCAACUGACGCUGAAGCACGAAAGCGUGGGUAUCGAACAGGAUUAGAUACCCGAGUAGUC
rnacentral:rRNA from 1 species